rnacentral:rRNA from 1 species
UACAGAGGGUGCAAGCGUUAAUCGGAAUUACUGGGCGUAAAGGGUGCGUAGGUGGCUGUAUAAGUUAGAUGUGAAAGUCCUGGGCUUAACUUGGGAAGGGCGUCUAAUACUGUGUAGCUAGAGUACUGUAGAGGGAAGUGGAAUUUCCGGUGUAGCAGUGAAAUGCGUAGAGAUCGGAAGGAACAUCAGUGGCGAAGGCGACUUUCUGGACAGUGACUGACACUGAGGCACGAAAGCGUGGGGAGCAAACAGG